UCGUCGUAGACGUCAAAACAAAUGGGGCAAAAGAAGCCCGGGUGGAUUUUAAGGAGGCACGCCGUGCAGAGACGGCGGUAGCUGCCGCAGUAACGAACGUUGUGGGUCUUCGCCGCCACCGCAAAUUCCGGUGGGACGCCACCGCCGCAGAUGAUGCAUUCGGAGAACUGGAUUUCGUUCAUUGGAUUUAGGGGAGUUUUAUUUGGAUGAGUGAAUGGGAUUUGAUUGAGGAAGGUUUAGGACUUACUAGGGUUCUUGGAGUUGGGAAUUUGAG
rnacentral:lncRNA from 1 species